AAAGAAUCAUCUAAAGGAAUGCGGAGAUCAGAGAAGAAGGAUGGGAAAGUUACCACAGCCUGCAAAUGAGAAAUGAUGAGAGCCUGCCUGGGACAAAGAAUCUACGAUAGAUCUUCUCCAGCAGCUCUGGAGGUCAGACCCAGCUGUGUAAAGAAUCAUUCCUAGAAAACUGGAAGGCAUGUUGGGAGACUACUACUUUCUGUGGAUGAAUGGGAAAUUCAAGACAUGAGAAAAUGGAUGGGCAGGAUGGAAAUACCACUGUUUUGCCAGGACGAUUAAAUAUCAUUGAUGCUUCUGGUCUACAAUUAGUCCCAGAGGAGAUCAAAAAAUGAUGAGUAUUCAAGAAGGAAAGUGUUUGCUUUAACAUAUGAAGAAAAGGACCUUCAGAGUGGUGAUUAACCCCAGAAUUGUGUGGAACGGAUAUGGAAACAAGACCACAGGAGCAUCGAGAACUGAGCAGAACUGAAAGUGACAUGAAAAUCAGCUGCAAGAUUCACCUCAGGGUGAGAAUGGGCUGCAGGUGGCUGCAGGAAUCCCGGGACAUUCUAGGCACUGUCACAUUUUCUUAGGGGCCAGUAAGGCUGGCUAUCAUCAGAUGUACCUGAUGAUACAAACAUGGGCUGUCUUGCCUUCUAGUAUUCAUUCUUGGUGAUUGCAUACAGAGCUUACUCUGGAGGUGCAGAUCAACUCUUCUUCGGGCUCAUCCAUGCCACUUGAGCGGGCUCUCAUCCCCAUUCCCAGGGGCUUAUGACAAUCAAGGUUUCUACUCCUCCAUGUCUCCAUGGUUUUUCUCCCCAUGGGAAGCACAUAAUCCCAUUAGAGGCCACAGGAAGCUUUUUUGUUGAGCUUUGAGGGAAAAAAGGCUUUUGCAGUCAAUGAAUCGAUCA
rnacentral:lncRNA from 1 species